AGUACAUAGUUGUAUGGUCUAGUUAUAAGUCCUUCUAGUUCCAUGUGAGCCGCCUCCACAGCAUGGCUACUGAAAGACAAGUGUUGUGGUUCCAGACCUGGGAAUGGAACCUGGGCCACCGAAGCUGAGUGCACCAAGCUUUAACUGAUGAAGAAUUUUAAACCUACUUCAUAUCUUUGGAUGGAUGCUCUGAAGCUUUCUUUGGCUCACCUGGCUCCUCUUACCACUACCUCUGGGAAGCAGGUGACCCAAGCCUGACAGGACCCCAGGGCUGCCUUGAGCAUGCCAGGCAGCUUUUGGUCUCUGACUUCGUGCUUUGUGCACUCCACAGUGGAACUCAGUCCCAGAGGACGCGGGGUGUUAGCUGGGAGCAGUUGUUAUCUAAGAGGCACUUAAGAACCUGAGAAAGUAAUAGAAAAUGUACUUACCUUCAGCUCUGAAGCAGGAACUUUCUGGCCAAGAUGACUAAGAACAAAUGAAAUUUGAAAGAAGAGCAAGCAAACAGACCUUGGGCCAGGAAGCGCCGGAACAUACGCAUCACUGGGAGAGACAGUUCGUUUGUUAUCAUAACCUUGAAUAAAUGUCAUAUGAAAUGAACUGCAUAUUUCUGGUAAUGUGAAGUUAGAGAAAUGGAAAGAAACAGAUUAAGACACAGUUUCCCUGGGCUCAGCUAGACAAGGUUGCUUCCAGUGUUUAUGAUGAGGUUUAUGGCAUAUUAUGGGAUUGUAAGCUUGCUUGUUUAAAACCUCAUUUUAGAGUUGCAUUUGGUUUUCCAUCUAAGGAAUUCAAUAAACUGAGGUUUUGAGGAAACGGUUUUGGAAUAAUUUGUUUUAAAACUUCCAGCAAACUUCUCAAGACAUCUUGUAAACAUUUGGCUCAUUAACCUCAUUAAGAGGAAGCAAUUAAUCCUCUUAUUUGUGUUUCACAAGACUAAACAGUGAGACAGAGGGAAUUGUGUGCUCAAGGGCACUUAGAGCACAUGCCAAGAUAAGGAGAGAACCCCCACGUUCUGCCAGUUUAUCUUGUCACAGGACUUCAC